rnacentral:other from 1 species
AGAUGCCUGAAAUGCACGGCGCUCUUGUUUUUGGACCACCAUUUUUUGAAGGGGAGUCCGGGUCGAAGUGGAAUAUGAAUAGGCCUUCAAAGGACAUUCUAAGACCACCGCAGGGCACCCACCUGGCUAUAAGGCUGGGUAUCAAAAAAAGAGUGCGGCAUUUCGGGUUUCCU